GCCCAAAGAAACCCAAAAGGUAAAUAAACGAUGCGAAAAACGCGAGAAUCGCGAUGAUCUCAGAAAAGGUGACGACAUGGAGAGGCGUGGAGGUACGGAUCUUCUCACGCCAACGGGAAAGAAGGAAAUAAACCACCGAGAAGAAGAGGGUAAAGAACACCGCAUUCGUCAGAUGAAAAGGAAGCGGCAAUGCGUCGGAGGCUUUAGUGGGAUCUUCCUCUAAAGGAAUCUUCUUCGUGGGCUUGAGAGAUUGAACUCGUUUAGUCGAAUACAGCCGGGGAGCCUCCAUUUUGGGUGUCGACGGCGGCGGAAACCCGGCGGUGGAGGAGGAGAAUAGAAGAGGAAUGAAAGUAAGAGAUGAUUUCAGUUAGUUUUACGAUUAUGGUGAAGGUGGAGCUUGAGAUGCUAGAGUUUAGGGAGGGAAGGGGAGUAUUUAUAGGAUAAAGAGUAAAGAGAGCGUGAGGAAAAAGGCGCGUGAAGUGAAGAUGGGGCAGUGUUUGGCACUUGUUAGUGUGGAGCUUUACCAAGAGAAGAGUCAAAGAAAGAAUUAUAGGGAUAGUGUUUGGAAGCGUGCAGUGCAUGGGAGCAACGUCGUCAGCACAUCCUGGCUGCUUCAUUUUCAUUUAGGGUAAACUACACAAUCAGUCACUAAAGUAUGGGUACGUUUUUGUUUUGAUCACUGAACUAAAAAAGUUACAAUUUUGUUACUGAACUAUUCAAAAGUUUCCAUUUAAGUCACUGAGCUGUUAAAAUCGAUGCUACACAGCUUUUUCUCUUCACACUGCCUACAUGAAUCGGAAGUUCUCUUUCCCUUUCUUUUUUACGAUUCAAUUUUUUUCUACAACUUUUUUCUUCGUUAGAAAAUGACCUUCAGAUCGACUUGAAUCUAAGAUAUGUUCUUUUACUUGCUAAUGGGUAUUGAUCCACUGUACCAGUCGUUGAGUCGUCACUUGGAGCUCGUUGACAGAAUUUUUAAAAAAAAAUAGUUAACAACCUAGUGACUUAAACAAUUUUUUUUGAAUAGUUCAAUGACUUAAAUGAAAAAUUUCAAAUAUUUUAGUGACCAAAUUGUAACUUUUUAGUUAAGUGACCAAAACGAAAACUUAUCCAUAAUUUAGUGACUAAUAAUAUAAUUUUCCAUUCAUUAUAUUUGGUCUUUCUCCCUAUUUUGAUAUUUUCUGUCACGUGUUUUUCAUUAUUGUAUGGGUUUAAUUAUUCCUUAUUUUGGGUUGUUUUUCAUAAUAAAUUAUCCAAAUAAAUAUUAACGCUGUUGUUAAGUUAUAUACAUUUUUGGGCAAAUGUCUAUUAAAAGAAAUAGAAAUGAAAGAAAGUCGUAUUUAUUAUUAGCAUAAUUUUUUUACCUUCCAAAUUUAUAAAAAAAUUAUUUAUUUUAUCUCUUUUAGUCUUUCAAUUUAUUUUUUUAUCAAAUUAUUUCAAAAUGAAUUAAAAAGUUAAAAUUCUUUAACUUUGUUGAUGUUACAUACACGUGGAUUACCAUCUAGAUAACACAUAAAUAUUUAAAAUCUUAAAAACAUUAACAAAUAUAUAUUUUUAUAAUUUUAUACUUUUAUAAUACUUUUAUUGGUUUUUAAAUUUUAAAAAUAGUUUUUAAAAAUAUAUUUUUAAAAUUUUAAAUUUAAAAAAAUUAAUUAAAUACCGGCGUGUUAUCCACGUGACAAUGCACGUGUAUUCAAGUAAGCAAAGUUAAACAACAUCAACUUUUUCAUUCAUUUUGAGGUAAUUUGAUAAAAAAAUUAGUUUAAGAGCUAAAAAAGGACAAAAUUAAAUAGAAAACUAAAAUGACAUUUUUUUGUAAAGUUAAAGAAUCAAAUAAAUUAUUAUGCCUUUAUUAUUUAAUAAAAUUUAUGCAAAGUAGGACUUUGACUUGAAUUCAUAAUUAAUUUUGAUUUUUUCCUUUUGCUCGUAAUUAAUUGGAUAAGUUUAUAAUUUAAAUUAAUAUGUAAAAAAAUUAAAAUAUAGAGCUUUCACAGCUCAUUUUUCCUUUUUAGAUUAUUAUUUUUUUGCAUGUUUAUUAAAUUAAAGUUCAAAUUUGACAUUUUUAAUAUUUUAAUAUAAUCAAAUUAGACCUAUUUUAUAUUAAAUAAAAUCUAACCCAUUCUUUAAUCCUUAAUUUUCACGUUUCUGUAUUUUUUUCCCAUCAAUUCAAGCAGCCUCUUGCUCUGUAGUCAUAUGUAUGUAUAUAUGACAAUAAUUAUUAUUCGGUUUACGUGGACUUUUAUACAAUAAUGAAGAUUUUUUUUAGGGUAAAUUAUUAAAACAUCAUUUCAAAAAUCAAGUGUAAUAAACAAAAUCCUUAAUCCAAUAAUAAUAAUAAUAAUAAAUUGGAUCUUUGAAUUAUCGUUUCUAUCACGACUCUUGAUAAUUAAUUACUGACAUGAUAAGUGAUGUGGUGGGUGACAUGAAACUUUUGAUGAUAUGGUGGUUGAUAUGGAGGACUUAAUUGAUUUUUGUUAUUAUUUUAGGAGGCUUAAUUGAUGUUUAAGGAUUAUAUAACAAUUCUUAAGAAAUUAUUGAAAAUUAUUAAAAAAACAAAAAUGGAAAGAAAAUAUUAAAAUUAUUAUAAAAUUUUAGCUAAAAGUUAUUAAAAUAUUUAAAAAAUGUUGAAAAUUAUACAACUAUAGAAUUUAUUAAAUAUCAUAAAAUUUUAAAACUAUUAUUAAUAUGUUAUGAAAAUAAUGGAAAUAUUAAAUUAAUAUUAUAAAAAAUUUAGAAAUGAUAGGAAAUGAUAUAAAAACAAUUAAAAUGAUAAAAAAAUAAAAAUAAAAAUUAUUGAAAGUAUAAAAAAUUUGAGUUAAGGUAGUGAUUGUAUAGACGAUAAAAAUUUUAUAUGCUUAAAAGUUAAUGACAUGGUUUAUUCUAUUCGUGCCUAAAAACAUUAAUUUAUAAAAUAAUUUAUUUUUAUAAAUAUUAAUAUAUACACUUUUUUAGAUUGAUAUGAUAGAAAAAUCGAAUCGAUUAAAAAUUUUACAAUAAAAUGAUUUAAAAAAAAAAUAAAGAAUGUUUUUUGGGCUACGUAAAAGAAUAUUGAUCACUCUAUAAGACUGGUUUUUUAUAUCCUUUUGCAUAUAUUUUAGUAGAUAAGGGAGAAAUUAUUUUCUUUACGCCUCUGGUUUCUAUACGGCUGAAAUUUUCAUUCAGUCAAUGACAUGAAUUUCAAAAUAGGAUGCCUAUUUAAUUUUUAUAAAUACAAAUGAUUGUACCCAAAUAUAAUAAUUUGCAUGCGUAUAUAUAUUUGAAUAAUUUCUGAUAGUUCUCUUUAAUAUUACUUAUAGUCUAUUCCCAGCUCAUAAAUAGGAGGAUAAUGUGAUUCAGCAUACUCAAACCCACGUCAUCUUGCAUUGAAAACAAUAAUCAUACUAAUCGAACUAAGACUCAAUCAACAAUUUGCAUAAUUCAUGCAAUUGGUGAUUAUUAUAAAACAACAUUCAAUAAAUAUUAAUAUUCAAAUGUUAAAUUUAUAAUUGUUUGUGCUAUUUUAGGUUCCAACAAGUUAAAAAUUCGUGUUGGGUUAGUUUUUUUUAUAUAUAUGUUUCUGGAGAUCUGUUAAAGGAUGCAGUCAAUUAUCAGGAGUCACUCUCGAAGGGUCUUAUCAUAUAAUAGAACACAAUAAUGGUAUUUGUUAAAAUUGGAAUCUAAGAUGGUGAAAAGGAGGAUAGCCACCUUUGACUUAACCUUUUGUACAUUAUGGAUGCGAUGAGUCUCUUGAUUGAUCGAAGUUUAUUGUCAGCCUUUUGUACAUCACAGAUGCAGUGAGUCUCUUGACAGAUAUUUCUUGGUUGACUGGAGUUUAUUGUCAGGUUGGUUUGAUGAUGGCACGAUUAAGAUACAAUUUUCAAUGGUUUGAUCAAGAUGGUACAUUUUUUGUUUGUUUUUGAAUUCUUUUAGAGUUACGAAUAUUUUACAAACAUAUAACAUAUGAGCAUCAAUUUAUAAUUUAUUAUAUCCCAUAUUUUUAUAUUCUUAUUAUUCAUGAUUGCUAUUAAUGAUAUGUUUUCUUUGUACAUAUAUGAAAUAGACGAUAAGAUUGAAGUAAUUUCUUUUUCCAAAAUAAUAAGCAUGCAUGAGAAUUGUUCAUCGCCAUGUGCUAAAGACUUGGACUGUUUGUCAAAGUUCUCUUCAAAAAAAUCAUAUAACUCACAAUGAAAGUUUAUAUAUAUAUAUAUAUAUAUAUAUAUAUAAGCAUAGUCAGGCCAACCAAUGUAGAAAAAAACUAACAUGAUAUCAUCUUUUCUUAUUGCCCAGUAUUUAUUUAGCAAAUAUUGACUGUAAUAUUGUCAUGAUUAGACCAUAUUAUUUUUGGACAAGAACAAGGUCAUUUCCAGUAAAUUCAAAAUAAAAUAUUAACUUAGUUUUAAAAUUAGAUUAAAAAGACAAUGUAACCCAAAAAGUUCAAAUAAGCCCCUAUUUUAAUAAAAUCAGUAGGUUCAAAUUUAAAAUUUCGAACAAAAUUAGGUGUCUAUAUAGAUAUUUUGUUAAAUACCAAAAUUUCCAAUGAAUUAUCAAAAUUUCUAAACUUAUACCAGAAUACCAAAAUUUCUAAAGUAAUAGUUGAUAUACCAAAGAUAUUACGUUAUAUGCCACAAUUUUAAGGGAAUACCAAUAUUUCUAAGCAAUCUCAUUAGAAAUUUUGGUAUACCAAAUCAUGUUACACAAACUUUUACCAAAAUUUCUAAGAGUUCAACAUUUUAGAUCACAAUUUCAAAGUAAAUAUCAAUAUUUCUAAGGAACCUCAUUAGAAAUUUUGGUAUACCAAAAUCAUGUUGCACAAGCCUAUACCAAGAUUUUUAAUGAAAUGCUAAAAUUUCUAAGCGCAUAUCUUUAGAUAUUUUGGUAUACCCAAAUCGCGUUAUAGAAGCUUUUACCAAAAUUUCUAAAAGAAUAGUAAUAUUUCUAAGGAACCUUGCUAGAAAUUUUGGUAUAUCAAAAUCAUGUUACACAAGCCUAUACCAAAAUUUUCUAGUGAAAUACCAAAACUUCUAAGCACAUAUCUUUAGAUAUUUUAGUAUAUGCUUCAAUUUCUAAGGGUACCAAUAUUUCUAUGGAACUUUGUCAAAAAUUUUGGUAUGCCAAAAUCAUUUUACACAAGAUUUUACCAAAAUUUCUUAGAGCUUAACCUUAGAUAUUUUGGUAUGUAGCGCAAUUCUUAAGGGAAUAUCAAUAUUUCUAAACAACCUCGUUAGAAAUUUUGGAAUACUAAAAUUAUGUUACACAAGCCUAUAUUAAUAUCUUUAAUGAAAUAUUGAAGUUUUUAAGAGCUUAUCCUUAGAUGUUUUGACAUAUACCACUUUUUGUAAGGGAAUACCAAUAUUUCUAUAGAACUCUGUUAAAAAUUUUAGUAUACCGAAAUCUAGAUUUACAAACUUAUAUCAAGAAUUCUAACAAAAUACCAAUAUUUCUAAUAGCAUAUCCUUAAAUAAUUUGAUAUAUUCCAAAAUUUAUAAUGGAAGACCAAAAUUUCUAUAACUUUCAAUGAACUACAGUUCUUGGUAAAUCUAUAUACCUAUAUAUAUAUAUAUAUAUAUGAAAGGAAAAACAUCCUCCUUUUCUUGAUAGAUGGCACACCUAAAAUCAAUGGCGGACGUUAUAGAUGGCACACCUACAAUCAAUGGCGGAGUCAAGUAGAGGCUUAGGGGACCAUGACCUCCCAAAGUUUAAUUUUUUUUAAUUUAGUCCUUUGUAAAUAUACUAUGGCCCUUCCUAAAAUAUAAGUAGAUCCUCCUAAAGUUUAAGAUUUUUGCAAUUUCCCCCUUUAUAUAUAUUAUGGUUCUCCUAAAAAUAUAAAUACUCCCCUCCAAUAUUUUUAUAGUAUUAAAAAUAAAAUUAAAAAAAUUAUUCUUGAUAAAAACAAAGAAAAAUAUUCUUGAAGAUGCUAAAUUACUCAUGAUGACUUUUGAAUGAUAUUUUUGUUAAAAAAUAAUAAAUCAAUUGUUAUAUUGAAAUACUCCUUCUUUUGAAUUGAUUGUUUAUAUGUUUAAAUCGAUUGUUACGUAACACGUCUAAUUUUAGCAUGAUCCCCUCCAAAAUUAACAUCUUGGCUCCGCCACUGCCUACAAUACUCCUUUUAUUUUGCAUUCAAUAAAAAAAGUUAAAUUUCAAUUUCGGUUCAUCUAAUAUGCCUAAACUUGAGAUUUAAUAUAUAUACUUUAAUUUCUAACAUAAUUUGGUUUCUAUAUAUUAUUAUAAUAUUAUUAAUCAGUUCAAAUAGUUAAUAUUAUUCACUUUUCAAUUAAAAUAUUAUAUGGUUAUAUAUAAUUUGAAUACCUUAAUAGUCUUGGAGGCUAACAUACAGCUUUUUGUUUCAUUUAAGUUCGUGUCAUUUUUUUAACAUUAUAAGAUAAUGGUCAAAUUUUAUUUUUGGCCUCUAGACUAUGUUAAAACUUGAGAUUAAUCUAUAUACUUUAAUAUUUUACAUAAUUUGGGCUAUCUACUUUUAUAAUGUCAUUAGCUGGUCUAAAUAAUUAAUAUUAUUAACUAUUUUAAUUAAAAUGUUGGGUAAAUUUUUCUUAAGAACAUUAUUUCAAGAAGAAAAAAAUUAUUUUAUCGAAUUUAAAUGAGUGUUUUUAAGAGAAACUCCUAAUCAAUAUUUUUAACAUUAUUUUUAUUGUUACAUGACUAUUAAGGGAAUCUUUUUAUUUUAAAAUGUCCACCAGAGAAUUUAAUAUAAUAAUUUUAUCGAUGGUAACAAUUGAGCUAAAAUUUUUAAUUUGAAAAGUAGAUAAUUAUGUUCUUAAAAAUAAAAGUAAGACUAAAUUUCAAAUGAACAAAGUGUAUCAGGUCUUAGAGUAUAUUUUAAUCUUCAAAUUUUUACUUUAUAAUUUCACACAAAUAAAUAAUCAACUUAACGUGAAGCAUGAGAUGAGAACCUUAUUAGUAUUUUUCAAAAGUUGCUUAAUGCGCUUUAAAAGUUAUCAAGUAUUUUACAUUAAGGCAAAAAAAAAGAGAGAGAGUAAACUACACUCAAUUUCACUAAACUACUAGUAAAUUUACAUUUAGGUUACUCAACUUCAGAAAGUUAUAAAAUGAUCAUUGAACUAUUUGAAAGUUUUCAUUUAACUUGGCGGACUGUUAAAAUCAUUGAUGUAUGGCCUUUCCUAUUUGCAUCGCAAACACCAAUUGAAAGCUUUCCUUCCCUUUCUCUUCUACAUUUCAAUUUUUUUUCAUGAAAUAACUUUGAACGUGACAAAUCUGUAAACAAAAAUCUAAACAGCUUUCUUCUUUAAUCUCUAACACUAAUCGUCAGAUCAACUUGAAUAUAAUGCAUGUUCUUCUACUCAUCAAUUGGUACAGAUCCAUCGUACUGAUCGUUGAACCAUUGCUUGGAGCUCGCUAGCUUGGCCUUUUAAAAAAAAAAAAACCCUUUAUAACCCAAUGACUUAAAUGAGAGUGACCAUUCUGUAAUAUUUUGAAGUUGAGUGAUUUGAAUAUAAACCUACUAAUAGUUAUCUUUGGUUUAGUUUACCCAAAAAUAUAUAUUAUAUAUAGUUAAUAUAUGUCAUAAGUCCCUAUACUAUUCAUAAAAUUGAAAUUUAAUCCAUCUUAAUUUCUAGAAAUUUAAUCCUAUACUUUAAAGAUUUUUCAAAAUUCAAAUUCAAUUGUUAACAUUGUUAAAAUUAUUUUAUUAAAUUCAUGUUCGUUAUAACAUUAUAUUUCUAUCAAGUGAGUUUUUUUUUAAAUGUCACGCCAAUAAAUUUUAAAAAAAAAUAAUGUUAACAAGUGUACCAAUAUUUUGAAAUCUCAAGAGUAGAAGAAUUAAAUUCUUGAAAAUAAAAAGCAUAAGAACUAAAUUUGAAAUUUAUGAAGAGUACAAUGAUUUAUGACAUAUAUAAACCUAUAUAUAAUAAAAGAAAGGAAAAAACAAAAAUACCAAAUAAAUACCAACAAGUGUUAAGGACAACAUAUCGCAUAGGAGACACAAGUUUAAAUUUUGAACACAAUAUAGUUAGGAGAAGCAGCCAUAAACCCAAACACAAACAGUAAAAGGGACAUUUAAAAUACCAAAAAAAUUACAAAAUAAAUAAAAAAAAACUACAAAGGGAAGUUUAUGCUGCAAGAGAUGAAACGCUGUGGACCAACUAAUUUUUACUCGUCAACUAAUUGGGUAUAGAUCCUUUGUUCCAUAUUCAUCAUCUACCAUUGUAAGAUAUGGCUUCCAAGGCCUCCCUGACGGUAUCAGAGUAAUUCUGUGCCUCUCUAAUGAAAUUAAUUGAUGACGGUUGGCCGGCUCGAAACACAACCUCAUUUCUCAUUUUCCGGAUAAUAAACAGACACCCAAAAGUUAAGACUGUAUCCUGAUCACUGAAGACAACCAGUGAGAGAUAUUAUACCGUGACAAUAAAUGGGAUGUACAUCUAAGCUAGACACAAGGAGAUAUGUCUCCUUAGUACUUUCUACCAUUGGAGAUUGCAACUUUACCCCCAAAUAUCAGACUAUCGUUACGUUUUCUCUAUGAAGAAGCCUUGGACACAUCCUUAGUUGACCUAUUGUACUUCAUAUGGCUCUUAACUAAUUGUCCUGCUGCAAUUGCAGACAUAAGCGACAGCUCCCCUGCAAGAACAGCAGACGCUACAAUGGUUGCCAGCGUCCUAGAGUUUGCUCCUGGUGUCUCUUUGCUUGCACCCUUCACUCCAAGUAAGUUCAAACAGGCUGAUUGAGAUGCAAGCUGAGUUCCACCACCAACAGUCCCAACCUAAAAGAUACAGCAACACAGAUUAUUAGAGACUAACAUAAAUACCCAGAUUUUGUUUUGGCAACGAAAGUCCUUGUGUUGGAUAAUCAGACAGCAACACUAUCAAUUACCUCGAUGGAAGGCAUUGUGACAGAGACGUGGAGGUCCUUUCCAUCAUUAACAGCUUCCAUCAUCGUGAUGCAAUGCGAGCUCUCGACAUUUUGAGCCGGAUCUUGGCCGGUAGCUAUGUAGAUUGCAGCAACGAUGUUACUGGCGUGAGCGUUGAAUCCACCCAGAGCUCCAGCCAUAGCUGAUCCAGUAAGGUUCUUAAGCAUGUUAAGCUCAACGAGAGAUUCCACACUUGUCUUCAAGACCUUCCUAACCACAUCACCCUUAAUGGUGGCUUCACAGACAACAGAUUUGCCUCGUCCUUCAAUCCAAUUUACCGCAGCCGGUUUUUUGUCGGAACAAUAGUUUCCUAUAUGCGCAAAUUCAUAAAUAUCAGUGAUCCUAUGUCGGAACAGUGAAAGACAUAAUUACAAGCCUAUACAAAAAACUGAAACUCACCAGAGAUGCCGAUGACAUCCAUGUCAGGGAAAUCAGUUUGAAGGAAAUCCAAAACGUUUUGCACUCCCUUGGAAACCAUGUUCAUCCCCAUAGCAUCACCUGUACUGCAAGUGAAUCUAAUAUACAGAUUCUUUCCAGCAAUUGCACAUUUGAUACCUUGGAGCCUGCCAAAUCUACUUGAUCUGCAACCACCAAAAAGCCAAAAUUUUCAAUAUUAGCUUGAAUUUUAAAUCCAUCAAUAUGGAGUUCUAGAAAUAUCAACACAAACCUGUUGAAAACAACAGACAAGGUCUCGAAAUUAUCAGGGUCCUCCAAAUACAACUUCAAAUCAGCUGCCCUUUUCGCAGUACCGAACCUUACACAUGGAGCUCUAGUCAUACCAUCUUUCAAUAGAACACUUGUAGCUCCACCAGACAAAUGAAUAGCCUUACAGCCCCUAUUAGUGCUAGCCACCAAGCACCCUUCCGUGGUUGCCAUAGGAACCGAGUACUCUCUUCCAUUAACCAACAAAGGCCCGGAAAUUCCAACGGGAAUUUGCACGUAGCCAACCGGCAUCUCACAACACUGCCCCAAAAUCGACUCGUAAUCAAACCCAUCCAAGGGCAAUCCUGAUAACGACUUCCCUGUUAAUCUUUGCAACGCUUCCCGCCUGAUUGCGGCCGCCCUCUUGCAAUCACCCAAUUUCGAUUCCAAGGAAUACGAAGGGGUUGUACCAGCCACUACAGAUUUAAUUAUUUCUUCAUCUUCCUCCGUUAGUACCGUCACAGGCUUUUCAUCGAACACCUUCUGAACGGUCACGAUUGGUGCCGCAGGAGGCAGAGGUGGAAGCGAACAAUCGAGAGCUUGCCCGCAAGGGACCUUACGGGCAUCUUCCUUUGCAAGCAGAACUUCAUCAUCCUCUUCCUCGUCCUCGGCAAUCCAAACGUCAGGCGAUGGUUGGAAAACCAAAGAUUGAACGAAGUCAAUCCCAAAGAAACCCAAAAGGUAAAUAAAGGACGCUAAAAAUGAGAGAAUGGCGAUGAUCUCGGAAAAGGUGACGACAUGGAGAGGUGUGGAGGUACGGAUCUUCUCACGCCAACGGGAAAGAAGAAAAUAAACCACCGAGAAGAAGAGGGUGAAGAACAGGGCAUUCGUUAGGUGCAAGGGAAGCGGCAAUGCGUCGGAGGCUUUACCGUGAUCUUCCUCUAAAGGAAUCUUCUUCGUUGGCUUGAGAGAUUGAACAGGUUUAGUCGAAUACAGCCGGGGAGCCUCCAUAUUGGGUGUCGACGGCGCGGAAGCCCGGCAGUGGAGAAGGAGAAUAGAAGAGGAGUGGAAGUGAGAGAGGAUUUCAGUUAGUUUUACGAUUAUGGUGAAGGUGGAGUUGGAGAUGCUGGAGUUUAGGGAGGGAAGGGGAGUAUUUAUAGGACAGAGAGUAAAGAGUGGUGGAGCGUGAGGAAAAAGGCGCGUGAAGUGAAGUGUUGGGCCCGUGUGAGUGGGGAGUCAAAGAAAGAAUUUGAAGGGCAGUGUUUGCGUGCAGUGCAUGUGCAUGGGGGCGCAUUGCAUUUUCCUUUCGUUUGGUCUUAUCUCCGUUAACUGCUAUUUUGUAUCUCUUUUAAUUAUUCCUUAUUUUGGGCAUUCAUUAAUUAAUAUGAGACCAUAUUUAAACUUUUGAUGAAUGGUAGUGAUAAAUAUAUAUAAUCUCGAAUAUAAAUCGUAAAAUUAACAUUAAAUAAAUAAAUAUAUAUAAUAUAUGUGAUAAAAUUUAUCAUUAGUAAUAUAGAUAAAGAUCACAGUGGAAUUUACUUCUUCGAUAUUUACAUAUUAUUAGUUUUAUAAUUGUUUAUACAAUGUUUAAAAUUAUAUAUAGCUCCUCUUAAAGGAUAAUGCGCACUCACUGAGUUAGGACUCAAUCGAUAACAAUCUUACAAAUUUUAUUUUAUAUAAAAAGAAGAGCUUCCAUUUUUUAUUAAAAAAUUACAGAUACAAUUGUGUUUAUUUUGAACAAAUGAAUUAUUCAUAUGAAUAUACAUUUUAGGGUAAAUAUUUAUAAAAAUUAAUUUUUUAAACUGGUAUGGUGAUUAACUAUUUAUAUUUAGGGUUUUGCACAGUUUUGUAUACGAUGGUGUAUUAAAUCCUGUGAAAAUAUUUCAAUGGAGAAGGGAGAAUUCAGUCUAUGACAUGAAAUUCAAAAUAGGAUGCCUGCUUUAUUAUUAUAAAUAUUGAUUCAUGCCGUCACCAUUAUUAUUUUAAAUCCUCUAAAUGAUUUAUAUAUUUAUAUAAUUUUGGAUAAUUUAAUUUAUCUUUUAAUGGAAAUGUUAAAAAAAUAAACUAUUAAAAUAGUCACUUUUGUUUACCUUAUAUUACAUUUUAGUUGUUGUAACAUUUUAGUCACUGAGCGGUUAAGUGUCAUUAAUAAUAUAAUGGUAAGCUAAUAUGGCAUGUUAAAUCAUCAUUUCAAACAAAAAAUUCAGGUUAAAUUAUACAAUUGGUCCAAUAUUUCUCUGUUUUGAACAAUUUUUUUCUUUAUUUUCCAUUCUCUUUUAUUUCUCUCUUUGUUUUCCUCCCUUUUUCAUUUUUUUAACUUAAUUUUUCUAUGUUUUCUAUUUGUUAAAACUAGUCCCUAUACUUUUAUUUUUUUGAACAUUUUAAAAUUUUUAAUUUUCCUUUUCUUCUUCUCCUUUAGUUUUAACAAAUGAAAAAUAUAGAAAAAUUACAUUAAAAGAGAUAGAAAAGGGAGAAAAACAGAGGAAGAAGUAGAAGAGAAAGAAAAAUAAAGAAAUUAAAAUGCUCAAAACGAAAAUAAUAUGGGGACCAAAUAUAUAAUUUAACCUAAAAUUUUUGUUUGAAAUGAUGAUUUAAUGUGCCACAUCAGCUUACCGUUACAUCGUUAACGGCUCAGUGACUAAAAUGUUACAACACGUUAACAUAAAUGACUAAAAUGUAACAUUUCAAACAUAACUGACUAAAAUAUAAUAAACUAAAGCAAACAAAAAAGUGACUAUUUUGAUUGUUUCCCUUUAAUAAAUGGUUCAUUACAGUAAUAUAUUAAAUUUAUUCUUAUUUUGUAUUAUUUUUCACAUGUGUAAUAUUCUGAUUAUUUUUUAAUGUUUAAUGUACUAACGUUUAAAUUUAUUCCAUCAUAGCCCAAGAAAAAUAAUAAGAAAUAGACGAUAAGAUUGAAGUAAUAUUUUUUCCAAAAUAACAAGCUUGCAUUCAUGCAUGAGAAUUAUUCAUCACCAUGUGCUAAAGACUUGGACUGUUUGUCAAAGUUUUCUUCAGAAAAAUCAUAUAAUUUAUAAUGGAAGUAUAAGCAGAGUCAGACCAACCAAAGAAGAAUCAUGAUAUCAUCUUUUUUUAUUGCCCAGUAUUUAUUUAGCAAAUAUUGACCGUAAUAUUGUCAUGGUCAGACCAUAUUAUUUUUGCACAAGUGACGCACGAAUAUUCAGUGUAGACUUGCUCAAAACAGUAGGAAAUGAUGAACAAGGUCAUUUCGUAGAAAUUGCAGUCAAUGCUCAUAUUUUGGCUUAAUCCAGCUGGAGUUUAGGUAAAAAUUGAUUCAAAAUUGGAUAACUAUAUAUAUAAUAUUGAUAUCAUAAAUAAGUUAUUUUAAUCCAAGUCAGUUCAAUCCAUGAAUACCUUUAAUAUGUAUACAUGAUAUGAUAUGUGAAAAAUGAGCUCAACUCAUGAAUAUUUCUCAUAUGUAUGCAUGCUUGAUGCAUGAUAUGUGGAAAAUAACUUAACUUGUUGUAUAGGUUUUGUACGGAGUAUGGACGGCAUUUAUAAGUUCAUUUUUGGAACUUGUAUUUUAGAGUGCAGUUGAGAACGUAAAUAAGUUUGUUGAAGUUUUCAGGGGGAGAAUUUAGAGGUGAGUAAUCUAGAUCUUUUGGUACAAAGUGAGGUUGCUCUAGCAGGAUGUGAUAAGACUUGAAUCAUUUGGUGUAUUGGGUUAAAAGAUAGUGGAUUUACUUACUAAGUUAGGCUUCACAAAUAAAGUAAAACUAAACUACGUAAACAACCUUUUGUGUUCUUGUUUUGUUGUUUUUGUCACAAUGCUACCUUCAAUUGGCAUAUCGCAAUUGAAGAAGCAAAAGUUUGUCUGGAAGAAGAAAGAUCCUAAGUGCUUGAUGUACAGUGUUUCGGUAAUGGUUGCUUUCAUCACAUGAUAGGUAAUCAUGCAUACUUUUCUAAUUUUGGAGAUCAUCAUAAGGGUCUAGUCACAUUUGGUGAUGGUAAGAAAUGUCAUAUCCAUGGAAACGGAACACUUAAUGUCCUUGGAAUGCUAAAGUUGAAGAAUGUGUUGAAAGGUCAUAUUGUUAAUGACUUGAAAGCUAAUUUGGUGAGCAUUAUCUAAAUGUGUGACUAAGGCAUGAUUAUCAAUUUCACCAAAGACAAGUAUCUGGUUUCAUCAAAGUCUUAUGAGAAGACUAAUGUUUCUAACUUAGAGUUGUGGCAUGAGAAACUUAGCCACAAUCAUUACAAAGGGCUCCGAAGAUUGGUUUGAUAUGUUGCUGGAAUAGGCAACCCAAAACUAGGUGGUGUCAUUCCUAAAGUCCGUUAUGGAUGCUUGAAAGUUAGAGAGGAUCACAUGGAGAAUCAUCAAAGGUUGUCACAUAUCCAAAUUAUUGCAUCUCUCAAGUUACUACACAUAGAUCUCAUUGGACCUAUGUGAAUCGAGAGCAUUGGAGUAAACCGUUAUGUCCUAGUCUAUGUAGAGGACUUUUCAAGGUACACAUGGGUGAGAUUUUUUAGAGAAUUCUAACACAUCUAAAGAAUUCAGGAAACUAUGCAGAAGAUUUUGUCAAUUUUUAUGACGAGGAAAUGAUCAAACUAAGGCACCGCAAUAUAAUGGAGUUAUGGGACACAAGAACCGUACCAUAUAGGAGAUGGCAUGAGUGUUGCUUAACAACAAAAGAGUUACUCAUAAGUUUUAAGUUGAGGCAGUGAACAUUGCAACCUAUAUCUUUAACAAAGUUCUUACUAGGCGAAAAACUCACAUGACACUUUGUAAGAUGUGAAAUGGGAGGAAGCCAAAUGUCAAGUAUUUCCAUGUGUUUAGAAGUACCUUGAUAGGUGUCGAAUCCACCAAAAAUGAAAUCCUACCCCUAAACAGGAUAUAAAUUAGAAGUUUAAGGAGUAAGGUCGAUCCCACAAGGACUAAUUUAUAUGAACUUGUAGUUUGUUAUAACCAGGACGUAUCGUAAGCAGUUUUGUGCCCAUGAUUUAUGCUAACCUAUACGAAAUAGAAAGAAGGAUUAAAUAUGAAUGUAACUAAAUGUCAAAAAUUAAAUAAUAAUAAUGCAAUAGAAAUAAUCAAAUCAGAAUUAAAAUUGAAUAACCUAAUAAGAUGGAUUUUGACUCUGGCUUUGGAUUGAUCCCAAACAAUGGAUUUUUUCCUCCAAUUGAUAAGUCGGGUAUAGUGACCAAGGAACAACCUCAAAUACCAACCCUUUCGUAUGUAAAUUAACUGCGGGAACAACUCUAAGUUAACCCGUACCAGGUAAAUAACACUGAAAGCAACUUCCAUGAUUUCAUUCCUUGACAACCUCGCGAACUAGAGGGACUCAGCUCAAAUUGACAGCCUCAAUUGCAUGGGUCCACACGCCUACUACCUUUUCCAUCUUUGAUUUUCCAAGUUCUUUUGAAGCAAAAUCCAAGGUUUGUUUGAGCCACAGAGCAUCUUGAAAGAGAAGUUGCUAAGUUGAAAUUCUCUCCAAAAUGGCUCGAGGGAAAACAUGAAUCAAUAGCCCCAACUGAUCUAACUGAAGGAGAAGAAAAAGUUGAAUCUGACCUUGAAACUGUAGCAAUUGCUCCUAUAGUGACUAUUUCAGCAGGUCUUGUGAGCAACCUAGCAGGAUUCAAUCAAAGGAUGGUUAGCAUUUUACUGCUUCUAUUGACUCUCAAAAUUGAUUCAUCUCCAAACUUCGAACUGAAAUCCAAGUCAUUCAACAGAUUCGAGAUCAAGAAAUUGCUUUCCGCAAUGAUUUAUUAACUCAUUCCGAACAAUAAUGUUUGACAUAUUUUUAAAAAAAAGGGAAGUAAAGAGGAAGGAGAUGAUGGCUAAGAUGGUGGCAAGUUGAUUGCUCCUACUAAUGGGAGUUUAUUUUACUUUUGGUUAUUACAAGCUUCAUUUCAUUUUGGGUAUUUCUUUUGAAAUAUUUGUAAUGAUGAACUUUUCUAAUGGAUGGAUGGAUUUUAUUUUGGCGUACAAACUCUUAUCUUCAUCUUACUUAGAUAUAAUUUUAGUAUUUAGAUUGUUGAUACAAAUACUUAAAAGGCAUUAAUGGUUGAUUUACUUGAUUAUGUUUUAAGUUAAGUGUGACGGAUAAGGGGAUUGUACUAAGGGGAAGCAUUUUUUGUUACUGUUGAUAAGCUUCCUAAUUUGAAUUGGUUUUGUUCAAAAAAUUGUAGAAGCAAGUUUCAAAAGUGGCCAGCAAAGUGCCAACGGUAGUGGCCACUAUAGAUAGCAUUGCAAUAGACUCUAUUACUAGCCAUGUUUAGAGUUAGCUUGAAAACGAUGAUGAUAUUAUGAAAAUAUGAAAGUCCAUAUUAUAUUAGUUUUUAUUAUUUAUUGCAUUUUGCUAGUUUAGCUGGUGACACGUUCAAUAAAUAUAAUUUUAAAGGUAUUUUUGUUUUUUUAACUGCAAACUGUUUGGGCAAUAAAUUUAUUUCAAAAGUUGCUUUCAAAUGCUUUAAAAGUUACGGUGUAGUUUACACUAUUCUCAGGUUACAUGGCCUGAAUUUGUCUUUAAAAGAAAGGAAAGAACAAAAUACAAAAUGAAUAAAGAAAAAUCUUUCUGUUCUGUAUAAUCUAUCUACUCCCAUUUACCCGUAGGGUGGCGUUCUUCCGUUCAAUUUCAAUGGCAUUGAUAGAGGGCAGCUUCCACAAGAUGAGUUUAAUCAUCGCCAACUAAUCGUGAAUAACCAAUAUUAAUAAAUAAUCUCCAUUCUUCUCAACCGCCAUAACUGCUCCAUCAACCUGCUAUGUCGGGUGAAAUGGGAACGUACACCUGAGCUACACAAAGGGAUAUAUCUCCUUAGUAAGUUUCUACCAUGGGAGAUUGCCACUUUACCCCCAAAUAUAAGGCCAUCAUUACGUUUUCUCUAUGAAGAAGCCUUGGACACAUCCUUACUUGACCUAUUGUACUUCAUAUGGCUCUUGACUAGUUGCCCUGCUGCAAGUGCUGACAUGAGUGACAGCUCCCCGGCAAGGACAGCACCUGCUACAAUGGUUGCCAGCAUUCUAGAGUUUGCUCCUGGUGUCUCUUUGCUUGCACCCUUCACUCCAAGUAAGUUCAAACAGGCUGACUGAGAUGCAAGCUGUGUUCCACCACCAACGGUACCAACCUAAAAGAUACAGCAACAGAUAUAAUUAGGGGGAUUCAUAAAUACCCAGAUUCUGUUUUGGUAAUGAAAAUCCUUGUGAUGGAUAAUCAGACAGCAACAUAAUCAAUUACCUCGAUGGAAGGCAUUGUGACAGAGAUGUGGAGGUCCUUGCCCUCGUUAACAGCUUCCAUCAUAGUGAUGCAAUGAGAGCUCUCAACAUUUUGAGCCGGAUCUUGGCCCGUAGCUAUGUAGAUUGCAGUGACGAUGUUACUGGCGUGAGCAUUGAAUCCACCCAGAGCUCCAGCCAUAGCUGAUCCAGUAAGGUUCUUGAGCAUGUUAAGCUCAACGAGAGAUUCCACACUUGUCUUCAAGACCUUCCUAACCACAUCACCCUUAAUGAUGGCUUCGCAAACAACAGAUUUGCCUCGUCCUUCAAUCCAAUUUACAGCCGCUGGUUUUUUGUCGGAACAAAAGUUUCCUAUAUGGACAAAUUCAUAAAUUUCAGUAAUCCUAUAUAGAACAGUAAAAACAUAGAACACAAUUACAAGUCUAUGGAAAAGUGAAACUCACCAGAGAUGCCAAUGACAUCCAUGUCAGGGAAAUCAGUUUGAAGGAAAUCCAAAACAUUUUGGACUCCCUUGGAAACCAUGUUCAUCCCCAUAGCAUCACCUGUACUGCAAGUGAAUCUAAUAUACAGAUUCUUUCCAGCAAUUGCACAUUUGAUACCUUGGAGCCUGCCAAACCUACUUGAUCUGCAACCACCAAAAAGUCAAAAUUUUCAAUAUUAGCUUGAAUUUUAAAUCCUUCAAUAUGGAGUUCUAGAAAUAUCAACACAAACCUGUUGAAAACAACAGACAAGGUCUCGAAAUUAUCAGGGUCCUCCAAAUACAACUUCAAAUCAGCUGCCCUUUUCGCAGUACCGAACCUUACACAUGGAGCUCUUGUCAUACCAUCUUUCAAUAGAACACUUGUAGCUCCACCAGACAAAUGAAUAGCCUUACAGCCCCUAUUAGUGCUAGCCACCAAGCACCCUUCCGUGGUUGCCAUAGGAACCGAGUACUCUCUUCCAUUAACCAACAAAGGCCCGGAAAUUCCAACGGGAAUUUGCACGUAGCCAACCGGCAUCUCACAACACUGCCCUAAAAUCGACUCGUAAUCAAACCCAUCCAAGGGCAAUCCAGAUAACGACUUCCCUGUUAAUCUUUGCAACGCUUCCCGCCUGAUUGCGGCCGCCCUCUUGCAAUCACCCAAUUUCGAUUCCAAGGAAUACGAAGGGGUUGUACCAGCCACUACAGAUUUAAUUAUUUCUUCAUCUUCCUCCGUUAGUACCGUCACAGGCUUUUCAUCGAACACCUUCUGAACGGUCACGAUUGGUGCCGCAGGAGGCAGAGGUGGAAGCGAACAAUCGAGAGCUUGCCCGCAAGGGACCUUACGGGCAUCUUCCUUUGCAAGCAGAACUUCAUCAUCCUCUUCCUCGUCCUCGGCAAUCCAAACGUCAGGCGAUGGUUGGAAAACCAAAGAUUGAACGAAGUCAAUCCCAAAGAAACCCAAAAGGUAAAUAAAGGACGCUAAAAAUGAGAGAAUGGCGAUGAUCUCGGAAAAGGUGACGACAUGGAGAGGUGUGGAGGUACGGAUCUUCUCACGCCAACGGGAAAGAAGAAAAUAAACCACCGAGAAGAAGAGGGUGAAGAACAGGGCAUUCGUUAGGUGCAAGGGAAGCGGCAAUGCGUCGGAGGCUUUACCGUGAUCUUCCUCUAAAGGAAUCUUCUUCGAUGGCUUGAGAGAUUGAACAGGUUUAGUCGAAUACAGCCGAGGAGCCUCCAUAUUAGGUGUCGACGGCGGCAGAAGCCCGGCAGUGGAGAAGAAGAAUAGAAGAGGAAUGGAAGUGAGAGAGGAUUUCAGUUAGUUUUACGAUUAUGGGGGAAGGUGGAGUUUGAGAUGCUGGAGUUUAGGGAGGGAAGGGGAGUAUUUAUAGGAUAGAGAGUAAAGUGUAGAGAGAGCGUGAGGAAAAAGGCGCGUGAAUUGAAGUGUUUGGCACUUGUUAGUGCGGAGCUUUACCAAGUGAAGAGUCAAUGGAAGAAUUUCAAGGGAUGUGUUUGGAAGCGUGCGUGCGUGCGUGCAGUGCAUGUGCAUGGUGGGGCAUUGCAUAAUCCUUUCAUUUGUUCUUUUCUCCUGCCACAUUUGGAGAAAAUGCUGAUUUUAAAAAAAUAUUCAGGAAAAUAUUUUUUUUCCAAUAUUUAAAAAAAUAAGUUGAUUUUGAAAAAAAUAAUAAAGCAUAUUUUGCAGAAAUUGUUUUUUUGCUGAAAAAGCUCGUAGGAUUAGUUUCUACUUUUUUAAUACAUUAGCUCAUUUGGUUAGAUGAUUAAAUGUUAAUUAUUUUGUCUUUUAAGUCUCGAGUUUGAUUCUUCUCUUACUCACAUUUGUAUUCUUAUUUCAAGUCGUUUCAAGCUUUGCUUUUAUUUUUAAUUAUGGUUUUUAACACAUUAACUCCUUUUGUUAGAUUGUUAAAUAAUAGUGAUUUUUUUUGUGAAAGAAAGGAAACAAUACAAGCUAAAUCCUCAAAGGACGGUCCACAAACAAUCUUAAGCCUAGACUUCUAAUGCAAACAAUCUUGGCUAGGCUAUCCGCAAUUAGAUUAUUUCCCUUGGGAACAUGCUGAAUUUUCCACUGCUCUAGCUUUUUAAGCGUCUGAUGAAUUCUCCUAAUAAUGGUAGAAUUGGAGAUACCCGUAUCAUCUUCCAUGAUAUCUUUAAUAGCUUCAAUACUAUCAGUUUGAAUAAGGACAUUUUGGAAACACCUAUCUGCCAUAAGAUUCAGCCCAUCCAAAAACCCCCAGAGCUCUGCCUCCAACACUGAACAAUUACCCAAAUAUCUCGCGAACCCUAUAAUUCACUCUCCCUUGUAAUCUCUCACGCAACCUUCCGCAGCUGCAAAGCCCUCGUUAAUCCUAACUGAACCAUCAGUGUUCAAAUAAACCCAACUGUAGGAGAUAUGGCAAUUAGGUAGAGUUCUUUGGGCUUCAAACUUUGAGAUCGAGGAAACAGAGGAAUACUAUUUAACCCAACUAAACUAGAUUUUAAUAAUUUCCUCAACACUCCACGAAAUUCUUUGGAAAACAAAUAUGUUGCGACUCUUCCAAAUACGCCACGUAAUAAUUCCAAAAAGGUAGGACCAAUCGAUUUCCCCUGUCGAAGAAGUCAACUGGUUCUGCAAAUUAGUCGCCGUCCAAUCAAAUAAAGAGCCUGAGUAAAAACUAGAAAAAGCUUGUUGAGGAAUGAUUUUAUCCCAAACUCCUUUGGCUGCAGGAUAAUCUCGGAGUAUAUGCAUCACAUCCUCCAAAACAUGACUACAAAUACUGCAAGUGUUGUUACUCCCACAACCUCGUCUUACUCUUUCAACAUUUGUAAGCAGCUUUUGCUUUAAGACAAGCCAAAUAAAGAAGCGGAUCCGAUAAGGGCCUUUAAAUUUCCAAGGUAUCCUCCAAAACGCUUCCUUGGGAUUCAAAGUGUCUUCACAAUGGGAUUCAAAGUGUCUUCACAAACCUUCCUAUAUGCACUCUUGAGAGAGAGAAGGUGUCAGUCGAGGUGGCUCCCCAAAUAAGUCCUAGCUUCGAUUUCUCUUUUAAGCAUAUUUGUAUUUUUUUUUCACAUUGUUUCAAAUUUUUCUUAAUUCAUCUUUUUAAUUAAUAAUUCUUUUAUUUAUAAAAUUAAAUAAUUAUUUUAAAUUAUCUAAUAAAAAAUAUAUUCUGAUAAAAAUGAUAUUUUUCAUUAUGUUAAAUAUAAUUUAUUUUUUAAAACAUCAACUUUUUGUUAUAUUUUUCUUUAUGUAAAAUAUAUAGGUUCUCCAUGUGGAUAUGGUGAUUUCUAAUAUUAUAAAAUCAAAUAAUUAUUUCAAAUAUCAUUAUUAUUUUUAUACGUAAAAUAUUUUAAAUAUCAUUAUUUUUUCAUGUACAUUGUAGGUAUGAUAUUUCAAAUAUUUUUAUACAUGAAAUAUUUCAAUUAAUUAUUUGAAAUUACAUUAUGUUUAUAUGUGAAAUAUUUCAAUUAAUCAUUUCAAAUUACAUUAUGUUUAUAUGUGAAAUAUUUCAAUUAAUUAUUUCAAAUUACAUUAUGUUUAUAUGUUAAAUAUUUCAAAAAGACGUACAAAAAUAUAUAAUACUAAAAUUUAAUACGUUCAUGAUAUGGAUUGAAAAUAAAAUUACACAUAAUAUUUAUAUUUAUUAAAGAUAAUGAUAUUUGAAAAUGAUUAUUUUAUUUUUAAAUAAAAUAAUUAUUAAUUAAAAAGAUAAAAAAAACUUGAAAACAAUAUAUUUAUUAAUUAAAAAAUUUAAAAGAAAACUUGAAACAACAUGAAAUAAAAAAAAGUACAAAUUUGCUUAGAAUAGGAAUCAAACCUAGGACUCAAUGAUAAAAUCACUAUUAUUUAACCAUAUAACCAAAGAAAUUAAUGUGAGUAGGAGAAGAAUCUAACCCGAGACUCAAGGACAAAACCAUUAAUAUUUAACUAUCUGACUAAAGGAAUUGAUAUAUUAAAAGAGUUAGAAAACACGCACUAUAAAAUGCAUUAUUUUAUUUGUCUCUCCAAAUUUAAAACCUUCUAUCAGUCAGCUGCUAUUUUGAUGUUUUCUGUCACUUAUUUAGCAUUAUUCUGCCUUUUACUUAUUCCUAAUUUUGGGUUGUUUUUCAUUAAUUAAUUAAUUAAUUAGAGAUCAUAUUAUGAAUGUAUUUAAUAUUUAUGGAAGUAAUGUUAAAAAGAAAUCUGGAGGUUUUUCUUUUUGCUCAUGAUUAAUUGGAUAAGUUUACAUUUUUACAAAAAAAAAAUAUUAAGACAAAGUCAGAGUGAAAAAAUAAUUAAGCAAGAAAAAUUCAGAAAAAUAAAUUGAUUCUUCAAUUAAAAAAAUGUAAAGCUUUAUUUGUUUUAUUAUUGAAAAAAAAAGGUCAUUCCCAAUUACUAUCAUUAAUAGUCAAAUUAUUAUUAUUUUUUUUGCAUGUUUAUUUCAUGUUAUAUUUUAACAAAAUAAAAGAAAUAUAUACUUUUUUUUAUAAAGAUUUAUUAAAUUACAGUCCAAAUUUGACAUUUAUAAUAUUAAAUAAAAUCUAAUCCACAUUUGACUCCUUAAUUAUCACGUUUCUUCCUUCCUUAAUUUUCAGUCAGUGAAUCACAUUAAAUUCAAAAUAGGAUGCAUAAUUAUUUAUUAUAUAUACAAGUGAUUGCAUAUAAUAUUAGUUCAUGCAGUCACCAGUAGUUGAAUAUUAACAUUUACAACUAUUUCCCGAGAAAAUGUAUGUGUUUUGUAUUAUAUAUAUAAGUUGGUAAUGCUGAUUGAGAAAAGACUUUUAAGAGGCUUUAAUAUCAUUGAGUUAUUAAGGUUAAGCCACUUGCUCGACUUAGUUUGUGUUUACUACAUGUAUUGUGUGUUUGGCUGUUGCAGAGUAUCCUCAGUGGAGGAGAAAAAUCAUCUGCUAUUUUUUAAAAUUCAUAUUACUAUUUUACUAUUUUACCUUUUUAAAGUAGAUCAUUUUUAUUUUUUUUAGUGUUUAAUGUACCUAGACGAUAAGAUUGAAGUAAUUUCUUUUUCCAAAAUAAUAAGCAUGCAUGAGAAUUGUUCAUCGCCAUGUGCUAAAGACUUGGACUGUUUGUCAAAGUUCUCUUCAAAGAAAUCAUAUAACUCACAAUGAAAGUUUAUAUAUAUAUAUAUAUAUAUAAUAUAAGNNNNNNNNNNNNNNNNNNNNNNNNNNNNNNNNNNNNNNNNNNNNNNNNNNNNNNNNNNNNNNNNNNNNNNNNNNNNNNNNNNNNNNNNNNNNNNNNNNNNAAAUUGGUAUCUCGUUAAACGCGCGUUGUCUUGCUUUUCAAAAAUACAAGUUCAAUUUAAUAGUUAAUCGCGAUCCGAUCAAAAUACAAAUUUUUUUUAAACACGAAGAUUUUUGAAACAAUUUUUUGAAAAUACGAUUUUUUUUAAAAACACGAGAAUUUUAGAGACACGAAAAUUCUUAAAAACACGAAUAUUUUUGAAAACACGACAAAUUUUUGAAAACAAUAUUUUUUUGAAACGCGAAAAUUUUUGAAACACGAGAAUUUUUUAGAAAACAGGAAAAAAAUAAUUUUUUUUGAUCAUCGGAAUUUUUGAGAACACGAAAAUUUUUGAAACACCGGGAUUUUUGAAAACACGAGGAUUUUUGAAACACGAAAAUUUUAAAAACACGAAAAUUUUUAAACAGGGGAAUUUUUUCGAAAACACGAAAUUUUUUGAAUAUUUACAAUUUUUAAAAGGACGUAUCGUAUUUAACAUAAACCGGUGAUAUUCACCCAACAUAGCGAUGAAAUCAUCGAUUUAAUGUUAAAUCGAUUCGUUGCCUUAUUUAUUAAAAUUAAAUUAAAUUAAAUUAAAAACAUAAAUACAAAAAAUAUAAAAGUGCAUAAAAAUACCAAUAAUAUUAAAACGAAAUGACAUAAAAAUACAUGCAUUAAAUUAAAAAUGAAAUAAAUAAAAUUACCGAAAAUGUCUGAAAUACGAGCUUCGCCGAACGGGUUACACAAAUUAAAACCCGUUUUUUCUUUUUUUCUUCUUUUAUCUUCCUUUUUCCUCUCUUUUUCUUUUUUUUUCUGGACUGGGCUGGCCUGUUGGGCUGCUGCUAGGCCUGGGGGCUGCUGCUGCACUGGGCCUGGGGGCCUGCUGCUGCGCUGGGCCUGCAUUUGGGCUGCUUCUUUCUUUUUCUUUUUUUCUGCUUCUUUCUUUCUUUCUUUUUUCUGCUGCUUCUUUUUCUGUUUUGGUUUUUUUUUUUGGGCUGGCCUGCUACUGCUGUUGGGUUGUUGGGUGCUGUGGGUCGGGUCAAUUUUGCGGGUCGGGUCGGCCCGAUUUAAAAUAAUUUUUUUCUUUUUUUCUUUUUUUCUUCUUUCUUCUUCCUCUUUUUUUCUUCUUUCUUUCUUCUUCUUUCUUUCUCUUUUUCUUCCUUUCUUUCUUCCCCGAUCAGGCCCCCCUUCGGGUUGCUUUCGUCGACGGCGACCUACUUCCCACCGACGGCCGACGGUGGCGCUCACGGUGGUCUUCCCUUUCCCCUUUUUUCUCUUUUUCUUUCUUUUUUUUUUCUUUUUGCUUGCUUUGCUUUUUUUUCUUUUUUUCUUGCCUCUUGGUUGUCUUGCUAGGUAUCGGGGCGGCGCGAGUGCGGUGGCGGAUGCGGUGGCGCGGACACGACGGCGGUGGUGCCCCUUUUUGCUGUUGUUUUUGCUCUCCUUUUUUUUUUGCUCAAAAUUUGUUUUUUUUUUUCCUUUGCUUCCUUGCUUCCCCCUUUUUCUUCCUUGCUUUGGGGGUUUUAAAACCCAUUUUAUUUUGAUGUUCUCUUCUUUUUUUGCAGGUUGCAGGUGGGCUAGGGAGGGCUUAGGUCGGCCGCCGCGCGUUGCAGGUGCAACUUGUGUCAGUGGCAGCCAGAGGGACCAAAAUGUAGUGGCAGCAAAACUUUUGGGGCCGAAACAUAAUUUUGAGAAAGUUCAAGGGUCCAAAUGUAAUUUUAAGAAAGUUUAAGGGUCAAAAUGUAAUUUAGAAAAGUUUAGGGGUUGAACUGUAAUUUUGAGAAAGUUUAGGGGUUAAAAUGCAAUUUUAAAAAAGUUUAGGGGUCAAAAUGCAAAAAAAUUAAAAAAUUUAAUUUUAAUUUUUUUUAACGAAAGUUAUUCCCGGACAAAAUUCAGUGAUUACAGCUGCCCCUCUUUGCUCAUCGCUGUGAAACAGGGAUAGAGCAAAGACUUAAAAGCACUGAAUUUUGUUCGAUCAUCCAAAAUUUUUCUUUUUAUUUGAAAAGCAGAAAUCGAGAAUAGCUCAGCGUGAAACCCGAGGCCCAACUCACCUCUAGCAAUAUGAGUUGAUUUUUUUGAAAAGCAAGAAUUGAAAAAUACCUCGACGUGACUCGAGGCUCAACUCACCUCUCGCAAUAUGAGUUGAUUUUGGAAAAAUAGAAAUUGAAAAACACCUCGACGUGACUCGAGGCUCAACUCACCUCUGGCAAUAUAAGUUGAUUUUUGAAAAACAGAAAUUUAAAAUACCUCAGCGAGAGACCCGAGGCUCAACUCACCUCUCGUAAUAUGAGUUGAUUUUUUGAAAAAAUAGAAAUUAAAAAAAAUACCUCAGCGUGACUCGAGGCUCAACUCACCUCUGUAUUAUGAGUUGAUUUUUUGAAAAAAGCAGAAAUUAAAAAAAUACCUCAGCGUGACCCGAGGCUCAACUCACCUCUGUAUUAUGAGUUGAUUUUUUGAAAAAGCAGAAAUUUAAAAAAUACCUCAGCGUGACCCGAGGCUCAACUCACCUCUGUAUUAUGAGUUGAUUUUUUGAAAAAAGCAGAAAUUAAAAAAAAUACCUCAGCGUGACCCAAGGCUCAACUCACCUCUGUAUUAUGAGUUGAUUUUUUGAAAAAAGCAGAAAUUUAAAAAAUAACUCAGCGUAACCCGAGGCUCAACUCACCUUUGUAUUAUGAGUUGAUUUUUUGAAAAAAGCAGAAAUUAAAAAAAAUACCUCAGCGUGACCCGAGGCUCAACUCACCUCUGUAUUAUGAGUUGAUUUUUUGAAAAAAAAAUAGAAUUUUAAAAAAUAUUUCUUGAAAGAAACAGGGUUUCAAAAAACAUCUGGUAAAGCUAAAAGCCUUCUUCUUCAUUGAUUCUGUGCAGUUUUCUCCCAGUAUUCCUUGCUCUACUGGUAUACCUGUAUAUGUUAUUUAUGAUGUUAUUAUGAUAUGCACAUGUUUGUCCUAAAUGCUUUUGUGUCUACAUGAUCAUGCAAUGCACCCUGGGCUAUUUGUCACGUGCCCCACUUUUGAUUUUUGUGAGGGUCCGCAUUUAUUUCCUCAAUUCUUGACUUUUCUCUCCAGUUUUGUACUCAUCCUCAAGUUUGGUGAGUAACCCACAUUUCUUCGUAUAUCACCCUCUUGCCCCCUGUUGAACUUUUUCUUGCUUUAGGGUCCUUGUAUUUAUCAAGUUCUCAUCCAGGUAAUGCUCAACAUUCCCUUUGUUUAGAGUAUGUCAUCUUACUAUUUAUCAUUUAAAUGAAUCAAACACGAGAUGCAUACAAAAGACAAAGUAGGCAUGAAAGAAAUACCUCACAUUCAUUUUUUUAAAAGCAACAAUCGAAGGAAAUUGAUAAGGAAAGUUUAACAAAUAAAUUGUCAUAAAGAAAAGAAAGCGAGUUCAAUGGCCAGAAAUGCUCUAGAUAUCCAAUGCAUGAACUUUCCAAGUUUCUUCAUCCUGGAUCUUUUCGAGCACGGCUUCUUGUGUAGAAGAUUUUGAGCUUCUGAGAAUGCUUCAAAUAUUGUAACCUCGCCAUUCGACUCUCCGUUCAAGCCAAUUGGCUUCUUCAAGCCCGAGCCCACUUUAUUAGGACGCCCUUUUGGGUUUUCAUCCUAAUCCUUUUGUUUAUCAAGACGCCCUUUUCGGGUUUUCAUCUUGAUUUUUCUUUUUUUGUUUUGUUUUUGUUUUGUUCCUUUGUUUUGUUAUUUUUUUGUUUUUUUUUUGUCUCUCUUUUUUUUAGGCAUAAUAUUUCUUCACAGAAUCUGAGUUCACUGGAUUAGGUAAUUCUUUCCCGUCCAUCUCAGUGAAAAUCAGAGCCCCUCCUGAGAAUGCCCUUUUUACAACGUAUGGCCCUUCCCAAUUUGGUGACCAUUUUCCUCGAAAGUCCUUCUGAAUCGAGAGAAUCUUUCUCAGUAUGAGCUCUCAUUCGCAAAAUUCUCUUGGCCGCACCUUUUUAUCAUGGGCCGUAAUCAUUCUCUUCUGGUACAUAUGUCCAUGACAAAUUGCCUUCAAGCGUUUCCCUUUAAUAAGGUUUAGCUGAUCAUAUCGAGCUCGAACCCACUCUGAUUCCUCUAACCUUGUCUCCAUCAAGACGCGCAGGGAUGGGAUCUCUACUUCGAUAGGCAAAACGGCUUUCAUUCCAUAGACCAGAGAAAAAGGAGUUGCCCCUGUAGACAUCCGUACAGAGGUGCGAUAUACGUACAAAGCGAAUGGUAGCUUCUCGUGCCAGUCUUUAUAUGUCUCAGUCAUCUUCCCGAGAAUCCUCUUAAUGUUCUUAUUAGCCGUUUUUACUGCUUCGUUCAUCUUUGGGCGAUAGGGCGAAGAAUUAUGAUGCUUUAUCUGAAAUUGCUCACAUACUUCUUUCAUCAUCUUGUUGUUCAAAUUUAAAGCAUUAUCUGAAAUGAUUCUUUCAGGCAGACCAUAUCGACAUAUGAUCUCAUUUUUUAAGAACCUACAGACCGCAGCCUUUGUCACAUUAGCAAAUGAAGUGGCUUCUACCCAUUUUGUGAUGUAGUCUAUAACCACAAAGAUGAAUCGAUGUCCAUUGGAAGCUUUCGGGGAAAUUGGCCAUAUAACAUCCAUGCCCCACAUAGAAAAAGGCCACGGAGAAGUAAUGACAUGAAGGGGCGAUGGAGCUGCAUGAAUUUUAUCACCAUAAAUUUGACAUUUGUGGCACUUUCGUGUUUAGCCAAUGCAAUCGCUUUCCAUCGUCAGUCAGUAAUAACCAAGUCUCAUAAUCUGCCUGGCCAUAGUGAAACCACUGGCAUGCAUUCCAAAAAUUUCUUCAUGAACCUCUUCAAGUAUCUUUCUAGCUUCAACAGCGUCCACGCACCUAAUGAGCACUUGAUCUUUUCCUUUUUUGUAUAGAAUAUCCCCAUCAAGAAUAAAUCCAACCGUUAUUAUUCUGAUUGUUCUGUUGUCAUUCUCGUUUGCCUGCUCGGGGUACCUUUGAUUCUUGAUAUACUCCAAGAUAUCAUGGAACCAUGGUCGUCCAUCUGACUCCUCCUCAAUACUAAAACAGUGUUCGAGGGUCUCAUAUAUACUCAUUUGGAUGGGCAUUAUCUCAGUUUCUCUGUUUGCUUUGAACAUCGAAGCCAAGGUGGCUAGGGCAUCAGCCAAUUGGUUCUCCUCUCGUGGAAAGUAGUUAAAAGUCACUUCUUUGAAUUCUUUGACCAAUUUCGCAACAAGAUCGUGGUACUUGACUAAUUUUGGAUCUCUCACUUCCCAAUCCCCACGAAUUUGAUAAAUGACUAAUGCUGAGUCCCCGUGCACUUCUAAGAUUUUGAUUUUCCUCUCGAUAGCUGCACGAAGCCCUAUGAUGCAAGCUUCAUAUUCCGCUAUAUUAUUGGUACAGAAGAAGUUCAAUCUGGCAGUGAGCGGGUAAUGAUCUCCCUCCGGCGAUACUAAGACUGCUCCAAUCCCAUGCCCCAAUACAUUUGAUGCACCAUCAAAGCUCAUUUUCCAUGAUUUCUCUCUUGAUGACUCACCCUCUUUUUCUGAAAUGCAAAUCAAGUCUUCAUCUGGGAAAUCAAAUCUCAAAGGCUCGUAUUCUUCCGCUGUUCGACUUGCCAAGAAGUCAGCUAUCGCACUUCCCUUUAUCGAUUUUUGGCUCAUAUACACGAUGUCAUACUCAGUCAGUAAGAUCUGCCAUCGUGCUAUUCUUCCUGAGAGUGCAGGUGACUCCAUCAUGUACUUUAUUGGAUCCAGUUUUGAAAUUAACCACGUCGUAUGAUAUAACAUGUAUUGUCUGAGCCUUCGAACCGUUCAAAUCAAUGCGCGACAAAACUUCUCAAUUGAAGGGUACUUUACCUCAUAUUCUGUGAACAUUUUGUUGAGGUAGUAAAUCACUUUUUCUCUUUUCCCCGACUCAUCAUGUUGUCCCAGUACGCAACCCAUUGAAUUCUCAAACACGGUCUGGUACAAUAUUAAGGGUUUUCCAGGGGUUGGCGGUACUAGUACCGGAGGAUUAGAUAGAUACUGUUUUAUCUUGUCGAAAGCCACUUGACAUUCCUCGUUCCAUUCUCCCGGAUUAUGUUUUUGAAGAAGUCAAAAAAUUGGAUCACACUGAUUGGUAAGUUGGGCAACGAAUCGAGCAAUGUAAUUCAACCUUCCUAAAAAUCCUCUGACUUCCUUUUGUGUACGCGGAGGUGGCAGUUCUUGUAUAGCUUUCAUAUUAUCUUGAUCAACUUCGAUACCUCUCUCACUGACAAUAAAACCUGACAGUUUUCCCGAGGUAGCCCCAAACGUACAUUUGGCUGGGUUAAGUUUCAACUGGAACUUUAUUAACCUUUCGAACAGCUUCUUGAGAUUCCCAACAUGCUCUUUUUCUCCCCGGGACUUGACAAUCAUAUCAUCGACGUAAACUUCUAUUUCUUUGUGCAUCAUAUCAUGAAAUAACGUCACCAUGGCUCUCUGAUAUGUUGCCCCAUCAUUCUUUAAUCCGAACGGCAUUACCUUGCAGCAAAAGGUCCCCCACAAUGUUAUGAAUGUAGUUUUCUCCAUGUCCUCGGGAGCCAUCUUUAUCUGAUUAUAACCUGAGAAGCCAUCCAUGAAAGAAAACAGAGAAUGUUUUGCCGUAUUAUCCACCAAAGUGUCGAUGUGUGGUAAAUGAAAGUUAUCCUUAGGGCUUGCUUGAUUCAGAUCACGAUAAUCCACGCACAUUCGCAACUUGCCAUCUUUCUUCGGCACUGGGACUAUAUUAGCUACCCAUUUUGGAUAUUUAGAGACUUGUAGGAAGCCAGCAUCAAUUUGUUUCUUGACUUCUUCUUUUAUCUUUAACAGCAUUUCGGGUCUCAUCCUUCUUAAUUUCUGCCGAACGGGCUUGCAUUCUGGUUUCAGUGGGAGCUUAUGAACCACUACAUCCUCAUUCAACCCUGGCAUGUCCUGAUACGACCAGGCGAAUACAUCUUUGUACUCACGGAGCAAGGCGAUCAAAUUCUGUUUGGUGUUAUCUGAAAUGGAAAUAUCAAUAUUCACUUCUUGUUUCUUUUCUUCACUUCCCAAGUUCACUGUCUCAACAGAUUCUUGAUGGGGUAGAAUCUGUUUCUUUUCUUGUUCAACCAUUCUCAAUAAGUCAGGAGGCAAGACACAAUUUUUAGCAUCUUCCUCGGCUUCAAAUUCUUCUAAACAAACAGCCUUCUCAAAAUCGAUUUCAGGACUUGUAACGGGAUUGUUCAUGCCAUGGAUAUCUGAGCACUUGAAAGGCGGAUAGAAAAGACUGCUAUAAGAGAGCAUCAAAGUAUUGGAAUCAACAAACACAAUGUUAUGGAAUGAGAUAUAUGGAGAGAAAGGAUAUGAAGCGAUGAGGGUAAUUAUGAAACUGAUAGAAAUAAAAAGAUCAUGACAAAAUGCAUCUUCAUUAAUGUUCAUUGAAAUGAUAAAGAGCAAACACAAGCUCUUACAAAAGGAAUCCCACUAUUUAGGGGCACACAAAAUAAAUGGAGAAGUAACAUUGGGCAUUACUCUGGAGAGGACUUAGAAACUACAAGAAGGUCCACAGCAGUCCAAUUGUUCAAAACAUAUCUUGGAAGACAGGGGUGUAUCAUUGAAACAUCCUCAAUUGUAUCACUCUCAUUGAAUUCAACAUUCAUAGCCCUAGCCCUUAAAUGUGUUCUAUAAGAAUGACGUGAUUCCAGACUUGUAGUAUCACAACUGUGGAUUUUGCGGUUCUGGCCUUAGUGAAUGAUUAGGGUGAUAUGUACAUGCAAUGAAUGAAUGAAUGAAUGACCAAUGGAUGCUAGUCAUGCGUAAAUAUGCAAAAAAAAUGGUGUUGAUUUCAAGAUAGCCCCAUAUUUUGGCAUUUCAUUUAUCAAAAGAGUCAAUUACAAAAUAUUUUGCCAACGAAGAUGACCCUAGUUCUUGAGUUUCACUGUUUCCAAAUCCUAGUCAAAUCUUCAGGGUUAUUCUGACGAGCAUUCGAAGUCGUCUUCUCGGAAAGAUCAGAGAUAUAUCUUUCCUUUAAAUUGUCCCUUUUACUUUCUCGGCCCUCAAAGACCAGUCUCUGACUACGACAUUUUUCUUGAUUACCUGUGUAAUUUGACUCCUUCAUCAGAAACCCGUUUUUGGCAACCAAUCUCUAAUCAACACCUUCCUAAUGAGAUAUCUACGAUGCAUGAUGAAAAAUAAAAUGAAGAACAAAUAACAUUGGUUAGAGAUCACAACAGAUAUAAACAGAAGGAAAAUAAAAAAUAAAUACUAUGGAAAAUUUAACAAAUUAAGCUAGUCAAUCAGCAAUUUGGUGGAACAGACCCACAUUUUUUUUUGCCCCAACAUGCUUUACAAAAACCUACCCCACAUACCAUCAGACAAUCUACCCGACCCAAUUUAUUAAAUAGACCCAAUUCAUUUGCAAAUAAGUGUAAAUGUAAAAGAAAUAAAAGGUAAGAGGCGUUUCUCCCGUGUACUUAUUUUGGUAACUAUCAAACGGACAGAGGUUCGGCAUGGCUCUAAUUGGGUGGCUCGUACGGUUCNNNNNNNNNNNNNNNNNNNNNNNNNNNNNNNNNNNNNNNNNNNNNNNNNNNNNNNNNNNNNNNNNNNNNNNNNNNNNNNNNNNNNNNNNNNNNNNNNNNNUCUUCUAAAGAAAUACAUAUAACUACACAAUAGAAGUUAAUAUAUAUAUAUAUAUAUAUAUAUAAGCAUAGUCAGGCCAACCAAUGUAGAAAAAAACUAACAUGAUAUCAUCUUUUCUUAUUGCCCAGUAUUUAUUUAGCAAAUAUUGACUGUAACAUUGUCAUGAUUAUUUUUGGACAAGAACAAGGUCAUUUCCACACAGGUAGAAGUGCAGUCCAUGCUCAUAGCUUACAGAAAAAAAAAAUAUUUCAGUAAAGAUUAUGUAGCGACCUAAAAAUUUGGGGUGAGCGCUAAUCGAAAUGAUUGUUGAAAAUUUGAAGACGGUGUUUCGAUUUUAUUUGAAAAAGGAGUCGCCACCGAUCUUUUUUCCUAGGUGUGAUCGGACACCUAAUAAAUUCUCUUUUAGAAGAAGAAUUUAUUUUUUUAAUUUUUCUAAAAAAGAGGUAAUUUUAGGUCUACGUGAAAAUCCAGAGAAAAUUAGGGUUCGGGAGUCGGUUACACGCGAGGAAGGUAUUAGCACCCUCGCGACGCCCAAAAUUGGUAUCUCGUUAAACGCGCGUUGUCUUGCUUUUCAAAAAUACAAGUUCAAUUUAAUAGUUAAUCGCGAUCCGAUCAAAAUACAAAUUUUUUUUAAACACGAAGAUUUUUGAAACAAUUUUUUGAAAAUACGAUUUUUUUAAAACACGAGAAUUUUAGAGACACGAAAAUUCUUAAAAACACGAAUAUUUUUGAAAACACGACAAAUUUUUGAAAACAAUAUUUUUUUUGAAAACGUCGAAAAAUUUUUUGAAAACACGUAGAACUUUUUUUAGAAAAACUAGGUAAAAAAAACUAAAUUUUUUUUUAGAAUUCAAUUUUUGAGNNNNNNNNNNNNNNNNNNNNNNNNNNNNNNNNNNNNNNNNNNNNNNNNNNNNNNNNNNNNNNNNNNNNNNNNNNNNNNNNNNNNNNNNNNNNNNNNNNNNNNNNNNNNNNNNNNNNUUUGAAUAUUUACAAUUUUUAAAAGGACGUAUCGUAUUUAACAUAAACCGGUGAUAUUCACCCAAUAUAGCGAUGAAAUCAUCGAUUUAAUGUUAAAUCGAUUCGUUGCCUUAUUUAUUAAAAUUAAAUUAAAUUAAAUUAAAAACAUAAAUACAAAAAAUAUAAAAGUGCAUAAAAAUACCAAUAAUAUUAAAACGAAAUGACAUAAAAAUACAUGCAUUAAAUUAAAAAUGAAAUAAAUAAAAUUACCGAAAAUGUCUGAAAUACGAGCUUCGCCGAACGGGUUACACAAAUUAAAACCCGUUUUUUCUUUUUUUCUUCUUUUAUCUUCUUUUUUCCUCUCUUUUUCUUUUUUUUUUCUUGACUGGGCUGGCCUGUUGGGCUGCUGCUAGGCCUGGGGGCUGCUGCUGCACUGGGCCUGGGGGCCUGCUGGGCCUGCUGCUGCGCUGGGCCUGCAUUUGGGCUGCUUCUUUCUUCUUCUUUUUUCUGCUUCUUUCUUUCUUUCUUUUUUCUGCUGCUUCUUUUUCUGUUUUGGUUUUUUUUUUUUGGGGCUGGCCUGCUACUGCUGUUGGGUUGUUGGGUGCUGUGGGUCGAGUCAAUUUUGCGGGUCGGGUCGGCCCGAUUUAAAAUAAUUUUUUUUUUCUUUUUUUCUUCUUUCUUCUUCCUCUUUUCUUCUUUCUUUCUUCUUCUUUCUUUCUCUUUUUCUUCCUUUCUUUCUUCCCCGAUCAGGCCCCCCUUCGGGUUGCUUUCGUCGACGGCGACCUACUUCCCACCGACGGCCGACGGUGGCGCUCACGGUGGUCUUCCCUUUCCCCUUUUUUCUCUUUUUCUUUCUUUUUUUUUUCUUUUUGCUUGCUUUGCUUUUUUUUCUUUUUUUCUUGCCUCUUGGUUGUCUUGCUAGGUAUCGGGGCGGCGCGAGUGCGGUGGCGGAUGCGGUGGCGCGGGCACGACGGCGGUGGUGCCCCUUUUUGCUGUUGUUUUUGCUCUCCUUUUUUUUUGCUCAAAAUUUGUUUUUUUUUUUUUUCCUUUGCUUCCUUGCUUCCCCCCUUUUCUUCCUUGCUUUGGGGGUUUUAAAACCCAUUUUAUUUUGAUGUUCUCUUCUUUUUUUGCAGGUUGCAGGUGGGCUAGGGAGGGCUUAGGUCGGCCGCCGCGCGUUGCAGGUGCAACUUGUGUCAGUGGCAGCCAGAGGGACCAAAAUGUAGUGGCAGCAAAACUUUUGGGGCCGAAACGUAAUUUUGAGAAAGUUCAAGGGUCCAAAUGUAAUGUUAAGAAAGUUUAGGGGUCAAAAUGUAAUUUAGAAAAGUUUAGGGGUUGAACUGUAAUUUUGAGAAAUUUUAGGGGUUAAAAUACAAUUUUAGAAAAGUUUAGGGGUCAAAAUGCAAAAAAAAUUAAAAAAUUUUUAAUUUUAAUUUUUUUUUAACGAAAGUUAUUCCCGGAUAAAAUUCAGUGAUUACAGAUUAAAUAGUUGUAUAUGAUAUUGAUAUCAUAGAUAGAUGAAUCGAUUUAAUUUAAGUCGGUUCAACUUAUAAAUACCUUAAUUUUAUAUAAUAUAUAUGUGUAUUUAUAUUAUUAUUUAAGUUCUUGAUUGGGUUAGCGUCACUCUCAACCGGGUCACCAAAUUUACUAGGAAAAUUAUUGAAAUGUUCUUUCGUAAUUAAAAUAAGUUGUAUUAUUCGAAGGUAUUUUUGCCUUUUUAUUUUUAAAAAGUAAAUAAAAAUAUGUGUAUGGUGGUAUUUGAAUCCAAACUAAUUGGGUUAGAAAAAUAUUUAAUUUAUCACUCAACUAAAACCUUUUAUUUUGAUAUUUUUAUAUAUUUUUUAUUUUAUUAUACACACUUUAUUUUAAUACCGUACAUAUUUCAUGUGUUAUUAUGCUUAAUUAGUUUCAAAUCAUGUGUUUCAUUAUUUAUUAUUUGUUAUUUUUAAACACAUAUUUGUACUCUAAUAUUUAUAAAAUAACAUAAUCCUCGAAAAGGAAACAUGCACUUCUAGGUAAGUUAAGUUUUUACCAAAUGACACAUGUUGAUAAUUGACACUUUAGGUGGUUAUUGAUGGCCUUGUAAAGUCUUUCGAUCUUAACAUUAUACAAACCAAAACCUUAGUAUUGCACAAACAAUUAUUUUAGUAUCUUUAGAAUAAUAUGAUUAUCAUAAGUUUAAAAAUAUCUGAUGCGGAAUUGAAAUUGGUCAUUAGAUUUUAUGAAGAAGAACACCCGAUAAAUUGAUUUCUCCCUCUUAACCUUUUUCCCUUAACUACACAAAUAAGGAAAAAAAAUUUAUGUGUUUUGUGUGCAACUCUAAUAAGUAAAGUGGGAUUAAUUUAUAAUGAUAAACUUUUAAUCUGAUCAAGUAACCCAACGAAAUGAUAAAAUUUAAUUUCUAUUAAAGUAAAACUUUUAGGCCCCAUGAUUUUAGAGUUAUUGGGUCCACAUAAUUGGGAUAAAAAUCUUACAUUCUCUCACUUGGCCUAAUGAGAUAAAACAUAAACUUUAAUAGAACAAUUGUUGAGUGCGCAUAAAAAUAAUAUAAAAUUUGUCAUUAAAAUUUGAUUAGGUUGACCUCAUAUAAUGUGGCAGAUGAUUAAUAGAAAAUAAACAUGUUAAAUUGACAAAUUUUGAUAGAAACUGCCAACGAUAAUAAUAACCAAAUUAGAAUUUUUAAAUUGAAAAGGGAGGACUGAAAUUUUAACUUUUAAAGUACAAGAACCCAAUCUCAAAUUAAUUACAAGUACAGGGACUAAUAACACAUGUUAGCUUCUUCUUCUUUUUUAGGUAACAAAAAUAAUCAAUAUAUGACCAACAUGCGGUAGAAAUUUAUUUUAUUUUAUUUUAAAUAUUAAAUUACUUUUAGUUUAAUUAAAAUUUUUAAUUUUUUUUAAUUUAACAAUUGAACCGAGUGAUAAAAUACUUGCAAAUAAAUAUUCUGUGGGCAAAGAUUUAAUCAUUAAAUAUUACAUUUUUAAUUAUUUCAUUUAAGUACGUCGCAUAAAAAUAGUAAAAAGCGAAAGUAUUAAUAUUAUAAUUUUGAGACACCUUACAUGCGAUUCAAUUGUCUAAUCCAAAUGCGCGACUUCACAUUAUGUUGUCAGGGUAACUCAAACUAACUUGAUAUCAUUUUACUAAGUAACAUACAUUCAAACAAAUAAAUCACGUAUAAUUUCAAUUAAAUCAUGUGUACAUGUUUAAUGAAUGUCAAUUGAUCUAGUUUAAAGUAUUUAGGAGUUGUAUAGGAUCAAAUAUAGAGUUGGGAUUCGAAUCCAAACUCAUUUAUCCAAAUUUUAUAGGGGGUUUCGAGACAUGACAUUCAUGUCUCGAGACACUAAUAUAAUAUGGUCUAAAAUGAACAUUUAAAUGCAUUCAAUCACAAAUCAAUUCGUACCUAACUUAAACAAACUUUACACAAUUUCAUAUGCAUCAAUUUAACAAACAAAUAUAUAACCAAAUAUCCAAACAAUUUAACAUCAAGUCACCUCAACCUAAUGUAGUUAAAUAAAUGGCUUAAUACUUAAAACCAUGCAAACUCAUUCAUUACUCAAGCAUUAAAACUCAACAAAAGAAACCUUAUAGGUCCAUAGCUAACCAAAGCAUACCAUAUUGACCAAAACAAUAUUUAACUCGAGCUGAAUUACUGACCUUAAAUGCUUUACAAUUUUGAUCUACUAAAAACCUGUUUGAGAUCUGCGCAUAAAAACAAACACAACUAUACGUUGAGUAUUAAAUACUUAAUGGUGCUAACAUAAUCUGAAUUCAAAUAUAAAACAUUAAGCAAUUUAAUAUACUAAAUAAACAUUUUAUUUAAUAGAUUCAAUAUCAUAAUACUAAGGGCCAGUUCUUCAUUGCUUAACAAAAGCACUUCUGACUCCAAAAGUACUUUUGAAAGAAAAACUGUGAAGAACAAGCUGCUUUUGGCUGAAAUUUUUAGCUUUUUUCUGAAAAGGAGCUGAAAAUGAGAAGCUAAAAAUUUUAGCUUUUACUCUCCCAAAAGCACUUUUUGUGCUUAAUUACUUUUUCACCCCUCCAAUAACAUAGUAUUUUCCUUUUUUUUCUUGGUGCUUAAUUACAAAUGUGUUAAAAUUAUUAAUUAAAAAUAAAAAAUAUUUCUUAAAAUACUAAUUACAAAUAUUUAAUGGUUAUAUUUAAAUAUUUAAAAUAUAGUUUAUAUAUUCUAAUUAAAUUUUAUAAAUAAUUAAUAUUUAUUGCUUAAAAAUAUUUAAAAUUUAUAUUUCAUAUAUUAAAAUAUUAACAAUAAGCUAUAAUAAUUUUUUUAUAUUCUUACUAAAAUAUAAUAAUAUUAACUAAUUUAAAUAUUAUUUAAAUGCAUAUUUGUUACUUGAUAAUAACAUGUCUAAAAUGGACAUUUUAUUUCUCAAAAGCACUUUUUGACAGUAAUACUAAACACUCAAAUUUUAAGCCAAACUUUUCAAAAGCACUCCUCAAAAGCACUUUUCCACAGCACUUUUUAAAAGCAAUGAAGAACUAGCCCUAAGAUGGCAUUCUAGUAUUUCAUUACCCAAUUUCAUAUCGAGCAACAAUCAUCCCGUAACUUUAUACCAUUUCAUUUAUUCACCCUCAGGGUAUUUAAGUGACAUUUACCUAUGCAAUCAAUUUUCUCCUCGUGAGGCAAGUUCCAAUGUCACGAUACCCAAAACAAUAUUGAAAUUGAGAGUCUUGGAGGUCUCGGUGUCAUGAUACCCAUCUUUGGUAUCGCUAUAUCACUGGAGUUGACCUUAAGUUUUUUCACUUCAGCAUUGUUAGGGGUAUUACAACUUUCAUGACCUCAAUGUCGUGAUACCCCGUUCUAAAUGAUAAUUUCCUCGAGUUUGGGCCAUUAUCAACUUCCUACACCAACUCAAUCAUAUCACUAGGUCCCCCAUGGCGCCAUUUGGGUCUUAAUAUGGCAUAAAACUAAUAAAAAUUAUUAAUUAAUAACAAAAACUAAAAAUCGACAAAAGUAAAGAAAAUACACUUAUAUUGCUUGAGAAUAAGCUCCUCGAGUGUAAUGGAAAGCCUAAUUUGACAUAUCAAAUUACGUCAGAUCACUUGUUCAGCACAGGUUCAAACCGUGUUACCCCCUUCCUCUACCCCUAAUAUUGUAUAAAAAAACUAAUUGCUAAUCUUCUAAUGUAGUCUCUGUACUAUAGUACUUAAUAGUUUAUAUAAUUUAAUUACUAAAUAAUUUUAUUUCUAAUUUAUCUUUUAUUUUUUUAAUCUCACACUCGCUUUGUAAUUGCUCGAUCAAAAUUUUGAACAACUCGAUUUAAUAAAUUUGAUCCCACAAUUAACUUUUCCGACAUUGAAAAAAAUCGAAUCAAUACAAUAUUAUAAAAAAAAAUUUUAAGUAUAGGUGUAGUUAGGAGUCCAUGUUUUUUUAUAUUAAUCUAGUUUGAAGAAAAAAUCAAAUAAUAAAAAGUAGCAAAUUUUAAAAAUUUAUUUUCCUAUAAAAAAAGUUGUUAAAUUAAAUUAUUAUCUUGAAUGAUGUUUUGGUAUAAAUUAUGCAUGGGUUCUUUUUAAAUCUAUUUUGAUUUAAAUUUCGUUGUGUGUGGACCAUAUUGAUUUAUAAUAUGUUUGGUUUGUGUUUUGUUUUUUUUUAAAAUAAAUUUGGGCUAAACUGGUGAACGAAAUAUAUCUUUAGAUGCUAAAUAGAAAUUAAAAAUUUAAAUAACCAAAACAAAUAUAUAUAUAUAUAUAUAUAUAUAUAUAAAAAUUCAAGAGCUCAAACAUGAAUAAAGGCUAAUAAAUUUUGUGAUAAUUUUCUCUCACCUAUAGGCAAAUAAUUUCAAAAAAUAAAUUAUUUGAUAUAUUAUUAAUAAAUUUUAAAAUUUUUAUUUAUGAAUUUAAUAAAAUGUUAUAAUUUUUACUAAAAUGAAAUAUAUUAAAAUAAUGUAACAAAAUUCAUAUUUUGAUUUAUUUGUGAAAAUUAAAAAUCUCAUCAAGUUUAUAUAAAAAUGUACUUUUUAUUUUAAAUAAACGAUAGAAUCAUUUGGUUGCACCGAAGUGCCUAUGUGUUGGGUCGGAUAGCACACAAAAUUUUCCUAAAGCUCUUGCCUAAGCAUUAUUUAGGAUGAUGGGCUUUGAUUGAUCUGUUAGCCCAAAAGGUUAUAUUAAUAUAUAUUUUAUAAUUAAAUUUAAAUAUAUUUUUUUAUUUUUAAAUGUGCUUCAGCACACUGAAAUUCACAAUAAUAACAAACGUUAAUUAAAUUAAUUAUUUAAAUACUAACUUUUUAUAAAUAAUGAUUUCGAUUUACAUGUUGAUCUAAGUCAUGCAAAAUGUCUAACGUACCAAUUUAUAUAACCAAAGAAAAUACUUUAAUUUGUAGUGUAAGCUACACCAUUAGUCAAUAAAUUAUUAAUACAUUUUUAUUUUGGUCAUUGAACUACUUAAAAGUUCUCAUUUAAGUCAUUAGACUGUUAAAAUCGAUGCUACAUGGUUUUCUCAAUUCGCAUUGCUUGCGCUAAUCGAAAGCUCUCUUUCUCAUUUUCUUCUACAGUUGAGUUUUUUUUUUAUGAAACAAUUUUGGAUGUUACAAAUCUAAAAAACCAAAAUUUAAACAACUUUUCCCUCCGAUCUCUUACAUUGAUCAUCACAUUGAUCUGGAUCUAAAGUAUGUUCUUUUACUCGUCAAUGGAUAUUGAUCCACAUACUGAUCCUCGAAUUGUUGCUUGAAACUCGCUGGUGGAACUUAAAAAAAAAAACUUAAUAACUUAGUGACUUAAAUAAAAACUCUUGAAUAGUUCAGUGACUUAAAUGAAAAUUUUAAAAUAGUUCAAUGACCAAAUUAUAAUUUUUUAGUUAAGUGACCAAAACAAAAAUUUACCCAUAAUUGUGUAUUUUUCACUAAUUUGUAUCACUAAAUUACUUUAAGGGAUAUUGAGGAGUGACAAUACUUGUUACAGAUAGGCAAAGUUUUCAUCAAAAUUUGAAAAAAAACCUAGUGCAAUAGUUAUAUAAACUUUAGGGUAAAUUACAUCAAUUGUCCCUAAUCUUUAAUUAAAAUUAUAUUUUAGUCACGUAACUUUCAAAAGUUACAUAAUUGUCAUUAAAGUUAUCGAAAUGUUACAUUUUAACCACUCAUCAUUUAACUUUCGUUAAGAAGAUGAUGUGGCACAUUAAUUUAACGGGUUAGUCCCUGAACAAUAAUUAAAAUAUCAAAUUGACACUUUUAAAAUUUUUCUUUAUAAUAAUUCUAAAAAAUUUAAAGGGUAAACUACUCCAAUAGUCACUUAAGUUUUAAUGCGUUCCUAUUUUGGUUACCAGAUUUUUUUUUUUGUUAAUUUAGUCAUUUCCAUUAGAUUAAUUGUCAUUUUUAGUCACUCCAUCGUUAAAAUACAUUAGUCAUUGAACGGAAUGUUGAUGUGGCAAUCUUUUGAUUGGUAUAAUAACAAAUUUAGCCCUUAACACUUUACAUAUUCUGUUUACUUGGUCCUAUGUUGAAAAAAUAAACAAAUUUAACUCAAUGUUUACACAUUUUGUCAAUUUAGUCCAAAUUCAAAAAUUUUAUAAUUUUAAAAACUUGAAAAAAUAUAUAUAAUUUAUUAUAAAAAGACAUAAAACUAAAAAAAUAUUAAAAAAAUAUAUAAAAUUACUUGGUUGGGCUUUGAUUGUAGAUGAAACAAUUUAUACUUUUCUUUGGCUGAUGCAAACUUGGUUUAUAGCAAUGGGGGAAUAGGCUCCGCAAGUGAUGCUCACUGAUCAAAACAAUGCCAUAAAAGUAGUUGUAGCUGCUGUGUUUCCUGCUGCACGACGUUGUUUCUGUGUUAUGGCAUGUCUUGGGUGACUAUCUAAGUAAUUUACCCUUUAAAUUUUUUAGAAAAAGAUUAAAAGUAUCAAUUUGAUAUUAUAGUUAUAGUUCAGGGGCUAAAUUAGUUAUUAACCCUUUAAAUUAACAUGUCGCAUCAUUCUCUUAACGAAAGUUGGGUGAUUUUAAUCAAAUGUGCAGUUUAUCUUAUGUAUAAACACCGUAUUAAUAGAGUUUAAUAAAUAUUGUUUUCGUAUAUGUAGAUUAGAUCGCUCAAUAGUUGAAUAGGUUACAUAGAUGAGGAAGUUAGGUUUGUAUAAAAGAAGAUUGAAAUGAUUCAAUCAUUUUUGUGAAAUAAUAUUGAACAAAUAAAAUUUGAACAUUCAUAAUAUUUUCUCAAAAUUACGAACUUCAUCGCAUAAAAAGAAAACACGAGACUAACGACUGUUUCUCGUUUGUUGACCAAUAUUAUCCGGAAGUAGCUUUCAAAUGCUUAAAAAGUAACAGUGUAUUUUACAAUAUUAUCAGGCUACAUGGCCUCACUUUGUAUUCAAUAUAUAUUAUAAAAGAAAGCAAAGAACAAAAAUACAAAAUAAAUAAAGAAACUUACAUAGUGCUUUAACUUAUUACAAAGGGAUUUGUCUCCUUAGUAUGUUUCUACCAUGGGAGAUCGCCACUUUUAUCCCAACUAUCAGGUUAUCAUUACGUUGCCUUGGAGACAUCCUUACUUGACCUAUUGUACUUCAUAUGGCUCCUAACUAGUUGUCCUGCUGAAAUUGCAGACAUGAGCGACAGCUCCCCGGCAAGAACAGCAGACGCUACAAUGGUUGCUAGCGUCCUAGAGUUUGCCCCCGGUGUCUCUUUGCUUGCACCCUUCACUCCAAGUAAGUUCAAACAGGCUGAUUGAGAUGCAAGCUGAGUUCCACCACCAACAGUCCCAACCUAAAAGAUACAGCAACACAGAUAAUUAGGGACUAACAUAAAUAUCCAGAUUUUGUUUUGGCAACGUAAGUCCCUGUGUUGGAUAAUCAGACAGCAACACUAUCAAUUACCUCGAUGGAAGGCAUUGUGACAGAGAUGUGGAGAUCCUUGCCAUCAUUAACAGCUUCCAUCAUCGUGAUGCAAUGCGAGCUCUCGACGUUUUGAGCCGGAUCUUGGCCGGUAGCUAUGUAGAUUGCAGCAACGAUGUUACUGGCGUGAGCGUUAAAUCCACCCAGAGCUCCAGCCAUAGCUGAUCCAGUAAGGUUCUUCAGCAUGUUAAGCUCAACGAGAGAUUCCACACUUGUCUUCAAGACCUUCCUAACCACAUCACCCUUAAUGGUGGCUUCACAGACAACAGAUUUGCCUCGUCCUUCAAUCCAAUUUACCGCAGCCGGUUUUUUGUCGGAACAAUAGUUUCCUAUAUGCACAAAUUCAUAAAUAUCAGUGAUCCUAUGUCGGACAGUAAAAAGACAUAAUUGCAAGCCUAUACAAAAAAAUGAAACUCACCAGAGAUGCCAAUGACAUCCAUGUCAGGGAAAUCAGUUUGAAGGAAAUCCAAAACGUUUUGCACUCCCUUGGAAACCAUGUUCAUCCCCAUAGCAUCACCUGUACUGCAAGUGAAUCUAAUAUACAGAUUCUUUCCAGCAAUUGCACAUUUGAUACCCUGGAGCCUGCCAAAUCUACUUGAUCUGCAACCACCAAAAAGCCAAAAUUUUCAAUAUUAGCUUGAAUUUUAAAUCAAUCAAUAUGGAGUUCUAGAAAUACACAAACAAACCUGUUGAAAACAACAGACAAGGUCUCGAAAUUAUCAGGGUCCUCCAAAUACAACUUCAAAUCAGCUGCCCUUUUCGCAGUACCGAACCUUACACAUGGAGCUCUUGUCAUACCAUCUUUCAAUAGAACACUUGUAGCUCCACCAGACAAAUGAAUAGCCUUACAGCCCCUAUUAGUGCUAGCCACCAAGCACCCUUCCGUGGUUGCCAUAGGAACCGAGUACUCUCUUCCAUUAACCAACAAAGGCCCGGCAAUUCCAACGGGAAUUUGCACGUAGCCAACCGGCAUCUCACAACACUGCCCUAAAAUCGACUCGUAAUCAAACCCAUCCAAGGGCAAUCCAGAUAACGACUUCCCUGUUAAUCUUUGCAACGCUUCCCGCCUGAUUGCAGCCGCCCUCUUGCAAUCACCCAAUUUCGAUUCCAAGGAAUACGAAGGGGUUGUACCAGCCACUACAGAUUUAAUUAUUUCUUCAUCUUCCUCCGUUAGUACCGUCACAGGCUUUUCAUCGAACACCUUCUGAAUGGUCACGAUUGGUGCCGCAGGAGGCAGAGGUGGAAGCGAACAAUCGAGAGCUUGCCCGCAAGGGACCUUACGGGCUUCUUCCUUUGCAAGCAGAACUUCAUCAUCCUCUUCCUCGUCCUCGGCAAUCCAAACGUCAGGCGAUGGUUGGAAAACCAAAGAUUGAACGAAGUCAAUUCCAAAGAAACCCAAAAGGUAAAUAAAGGACGCGAAAAAUGAGAGAAUGGCGAUGAUCUCGGAAAAGGUGACGACAUGGAGAGGUGUGGAGGUACGGAUCUUCUCACGCCAACGGGAAAGAAGAAAAUAAACCACCGAGAAGAAGAGGGUGAAGAACAGGGCGUUCGUUAGGUACAAGGGAAGCGGCAGUGCGUCGGAGGCUUUACCGGUAUCUUCCUCUAAAGGAAUCUUUUUCGUUGGCUUGAGAGAUUGAACAGGUUUAGUAGAAGAUAGCCGGUGAGCCUCCAUUUUGGGUGUCGACGGUGGCGGAAGCCCGAGACGAACGGAAAUGAGAGACAGCCGACGAUUUCAAUUAGUUUUCAGAGAAGGG
rnacentral:lncRNA from 1 species